UACGUAAAAGACUAGUGUUAUUCAUCUUAGUAGGUUUAAAGGGUACCUAGACGGUAUAAUUAGUCUUAAACAAGAAACGGGUUAUGCUAGAGUUAUAUAUGAGAAGGGGAGUAUUUAUGGAGUAGAGUUGAAAUUCUUUGAUCCCAUAACGACUGGUAGCGGCGAAAGCAACCUUUUAUCUAAUAACUGACGUGAGGGACGAAGGCUCGGGUCACGAACAGG
rnacentral:rRNA from 1 species